CGUGCUCCUUCGGGAGCGAAAGUCACGGGUUACAGACCCGAACCUUAGCGAUCUAUCCAUGAGCAGGCUGAAGCGCGGGUAAGACUGCGUGGAGGGCCGAACUCACCACAGUUGAAAAUGUGGGGGAUGACUUGUGGAUAGGAGUGAAAGGCUAAUCAAGCUGGGAGAUAGCUGGUUCUCGCCGAAACAUAUUGAGGUAUGGGGUCAGUUGAUUUGCGCGGGGGUAGAGCACUGAAUGGGCUAGGGGGACCACAAUCUUACCGAACCCCAAUCAAACUCCGAAUACCCGCGACAACAGACUGGCACUCAGGCGCUGAGAGCUAAGUUUCAGCGCCGAGAGGGUAAGAACCCAGACCGGCAGCUAAGGUCCCCAAAUCUAGACUAAGUGUGAAAGGAUGUGGGAACGCAUUGACAACCAGGAGGUUGGCUUAGAAGCAGCCAUCCUUUAAAGAAAGCGUAAUAGCUCACUGGUCAAGCGAGCCCGCGCCGAAAAUUCAACGGGG
rnacentral:rRNA from 1 species